rnacentral:lncRNA from 1 species
AGGAUUUGGGGUGUAGGGUUUAGAGUUUGGGGAUUAGGGUUUACGGUUUAGGAUGUAUGGUUUACAGUUUAGGGUUUAGGGUGUAAGGUUUAGAUUUUUAGGUUUAGGGUUUAGAUUUUUAGGUUUAGGGUUUAGGAUUUGGGGUUUAUGGUUUAGGGUUUAUGGUUUAGGGUUCAUGGUUAAGGGUUUAGGGUUUAGGAUUCGG